rnacentral:lncRNA from 1 species
UGCCGCCGAACCUGCCUGACUUUCGGCUCUGGAGGGACUUUCGGCUGCCGAACCUGCCGCCGAAAGUGCCCUGUCCAGCCCUUUCUUGCAUGUUUUUCUAUGAUUGUUUCAUGAUAUUUUAGGGGGUUUUUGGGGAAUAGUUUAGAGUUAUGUUCACGUAUGUUUGGUCCCUCAUUUGAGUCCACCUGUGUAGGUUCGGACCCGAGGAACCGAGGACCCCCGCAGUGAGUCUGUUGCCCCAGUGUCUGGUCAGAGCUAUCCAGAGG